rnacentral:rRNA from 1 species
ACCCAGACUCCUACGGGAGGCAGCAGUGGGGAAUAUUGCACAAUGGGGGGAACCCUGAUGCAGCGACGCCGCGUGGGUGAAGAAGCGCCUCGGCGCGUAAAGCCCUGUCAGCAGGGAAGAAAAUGACGGUACCUGACUAAGAAGCCCCGGCUAACUACGUGCCAGCAGCCGCGGUAAUACGUAGGGGGCAAGCGUUAUCCGGAUUUACUGGGUGUAAAGGGAGCGUAGACGGCGAUGCAAGUCUGAAGUGAAAGGCGGGGGCCCAACCCCGGGAGUGCCCUUGGAACUGCACGGCUGGAGUGCGGGAGGGGCAGGCGGAAUUCCUGGUGUAGCGGUGAAAUGCGUAGAUAUCAGGAGGAACACCGGCGGCGAAGGCGGCCUGCUGGACCGCGACUGACGUCGAGGCUCGAAAGCGUGGGGAGCGAACAGGAUUAGAUACCCCUGUAAA